rnacentral:sRNA from 1 species
ACUGGGCCCACUGGCACACACCUGUAAUCCCAGCUACUCAGGAAGUUAAGGCAAGAGAUUGUUUGAGCCCAGGAGUUCAAGACCAGCCUCAGCAAUACAGGAAGACCCUGUCUCAA